UACAGAGGGUGCGAGCGUUGUCCGGAAUCACUGGGCGUAAAGGGCGCGUAGGCGGUGACUUAAGCGUGUGGUGAAAGCUCAGGGCUCAACCCUGAGUCGGCCGUGCGAACUGGGUCACUGGAGCAUGUCAGAGGCAGGCGGAAUUCCGGGUGUAGCGGUGGAAUGCGUAGAGAUCCGGAAGAACACCGGUGGCGAAGGCGGCCUGCUGGGACAUUGCUGACGCUGAGGCGCGACAGCGUGGGGAGCAAACAGG
rnacentral:rRNA from 1 species